GACGAACGCUGGCGGCGUGCUUAACACAUGCAAGUCGAACGGAAAGGCCCUGCUUGCAGGGUACUCGAGUGGCGAACGGGUGAGUAACACGUGGGUGAUCUGCCCUGCACUUCGGGAUAAGCCUGGGGAACUGGGUCUAAUACCGGAUAGGAGCCAUUUUUAGUGUGAUGGUUGGAAAGUUUUUUCGGUGUAGGAUGAGCUCGCGGCCUAUCAGCUUGUUGGUGGGGUAAUGGCCUACCAAGGCGGCGACGGGUAGCCGGCCUGAGAGGGUGGACGGCCACAUUGGGACUGAGAUACGGCCCAGACUCCUACGGGAGGCAGCAGUGGGGAAUAUUGCACAAUGGGCGCAAGCCUGAUGCAGCGACGCCGCGUGGGGGAGGACGGCCUUCGGGUUGUAAACUCCUUUCGCUAGGGACGAAGCUUUUUGUGACGGUACCUAGAUAAGAAGCACCGGCUAACUACGUG
rnacentral:rRNA from 1 species